rnacentral:rRNA from 1 species
UUGUUGCUGGCUCUCCUUGGAGUGCAUGUGCACGCUUUUUUAUUUCUCCAACUGUGCACGAAUUGUAGACCCUGGUCUAUGUUUUUCACAAUCUCUGAAUGUAUUAGAAUGGUUGUAAUCUGGGGAAUAAUACAAACAACUUUCAGCAACGGAUCUCUUGGCUCUCGCAUCGAUGAAGAACGCAGCGAAAUGCGAUAAGUAAUGUGAAUUGCAGAAUUCAGUGAAUCAUCGAAUCUUUGAACGCAUCUUGCGCUCCUUGGUAUUCUGAGGAGCAUGCCUGUUUGAGUGUCAUUUAAAACUUCUCAACUGCUUAUGCAGCUUGGAAAUGGGGGAUGGUUUUGCAGGCUUUUUUGUCUGCUCCCCUGAAAUGUAUUAGUGGUGUUUUGGCAAACUUUAACCACAGGUGUGAUAACUAUCAAUACCUUGGUUGUAUCUUGCUGCUGCUGCUUUAACCCUAAAUGAUCAACUUGACCUCAAAUCAGGUAGGAUUACCCGCUGAACUUAAGCAUA